rnacentral:tRNA from 1 species
UUUAAGGUGGCAGAAUUAAUGUGUAGGACUUAAGCCCCUAAUAUGAGAUUUUCUCCUUUAAAA